AACGUAGGAGACAAACGUUAUCCGGAGUUACUGGGCGUAAAGGGCGUGUAGGUGGUUUCGUAAGUCUGGCGUGAAAUAUCUCGGCUUAACCGAGGCAGGUCGUCGGAUACUGCGGAACUAGAGGACGGUAGAGGCGUGUGGAAUUCCGGGUGUAGUGGUGAAAUGCGUAGAGAUCCGGAAGAACACCAGUGGCGAAGGCGGUCUGCUGGGCCGUUGCUGACGCUGAGGCGCGACAGCGUGGGGAGCAAACAGG
rnacentral:rRNA from 1 species